GUAGCAGGAGCUUCACUUUGAAGUACGACCAUCAGACCUCACCAGGGACAUCUGUGUACUCAACAGAUCCUGAGAAAGCUUUGAGCUAGCUUAAAUUUUAAUCUUCCAUAGAAAGGACUUGAAAAGAGAGCUGUCUGGGGGGUCCCAGGUACAAAGAAACCCAUUACAGGAUUAUUGUUGUCAAACAUCAGCGCACAGAGUGUCUCUGGUCAUUAUCUGCCUGAUAAAUAGAGGAGCUUUAAUUUUCAUUGAUUAGGCUUAGAACUGAAGAAAACUGAAAAUGCUGGCUGGAAAAGUUUUCAUCUGGGCUGGAGACUGAAAUGAAAGAGCAUCACAUCUGAUGAAGUGGUGAUGAUGAGUGAAUAAACUAUUGGAAUCUUCAGGAGUGAAGACAAGUAAUUUGAAUCAUGUCAACCAUCCAAAUUUAAUGUUGUUUAAGAAUGCAGGUGGUUUCUAUGAAAUUAUGUCAGUCUCUGUAUCUCACACGCAGAAGCAGAAAACCCAUUGCUUGCAGCUGUCUUUUGUUUUGUUUUGUUUUGUGGUUAAUAUUUUACCUGCCACAGUACUUCAGAGGUAUUAGAAAUAAUCCACUCCUCUACUAACAUCUCAGAAAUCUUAAUGGACCUCUGGACUACAGAAGAAACACUUCCAGUUCCUGGGAGACAAACUAAUAAUUGUUGCUCAUGAACAGCAGCACAACAGUUGUGAGAACAAACUUCUGCACCAUUUCUGCUCACAGACACCUGCUCAUACUAUCAGACUCAUUUUUCUUUCCGUAUUGGAAAAAAAACCUAUCCUUCUAUAGGUACCUCCUGGUAGAUUCACUCAUUCAUAAGUGUUACCAUUCACCUCCUCCUCCCUAUUUCCCAUCACAUGCAACUGUUUACACUUGCACAGGCUCUAGAAUAGAAAUAGUUAAAAGUAAUUUAAUCCUGAGUUUUUAGAUAGAUUUCUGUACUUCUUCAUACUGAGAUGUUGAUAUACUUAUUUUGGUGACUAUUUCACAGCUGCAAAAAAAGAAUAUUAGACAUUUGUGUGACCUCUACACCUAUUUUAGGUUUGGAACUGAAAACAAAUUCAGACGUGUCCAGCUGGAUAGUGGAAAACCCAUGGGCAACAUAGACUUUCUGUAAAUUGCAAGGUCUAGGACCAGUUCCUUCCAGGAAGUCUAGCUCUGGAAAAGUGUCUUACCUGCAUUGAAAGAGGCAACUGGGGGAUAAACAGGAAAAAUCCUGAAAACAGGAAAAAUUACAGUGAAGACAUUCGAAUCAGUUCAUAAGUUCAACGAGGAGUUUAAUAAUGCAGUUUUGCCUUUGAAACACAACGGCAUUCUUUCAGUCUUGAAAUGCAGUGACAGCAGCUGCAGAAGAAUGUGGAGGUAUAGUGCGUGUGUUGCUGAGUGAUCCCCUGGUUGGUGCCACAUGUCUGAUGGCUUCCCCUGCAGAGGUCAAGGAGAGCCCAUUGGGUAGGGGCACAACUGCUGACAUCCACGGAGAGCCAAGAGAGAGGCCUUCUGUUCCAGCAUAUCCAUGGACAGGCUGAGUGCCUUGCAAUCUGGCUGAGUGAACCAAUGCUCUGGCAAAGUGUUAUCUGAUAUCCCUAAAGGAUAUCAGAUAUUCCCUAUAGGAAUCUGAUAUUCCCUAAAGGAAUCCUCUCCAGUGCCAGGAAUUUAUAUCUUAUUUCUUAGAAUCAUAGAAUUGCUAAGGCUGGAAGAGGCCAUCUAGUCCAUCUAGUCCAACUGUCAACCCAGUAACUCAGUUGGUACUUUUCAGACUACAACACAAGCAGUGCACGAAUUUCAUCUAAGUGGGUCUCCUGAAGAGCAAUAAGAUCAGUGAUGGAGAUAUAAAAGAACCAUUUGAAGGCUUGCAAAGGCUCAUAAUGAUCUUAGCAGCAUCCCAGCAGAUGCAGCCACAGCAGAGCAGACUUGCACUCUGUACACCUGGUAGCACUGAGCUUUCUCAGUUAUCCCACCAAUCCUCCUCCAAGGAGCAUUUCUUUGUGGCAUGUCAUUGCAGGGAUUCAUUAGACUAUUUUUUUACUACUAUUUAUUUUCUAAAUAAUAUUUCAGCUUUUCAAAGAAAAAAAAAAUGUAUGGCAGGAAAAUGUUAUAGUAGGAAAUAUUCUUGACUUGUCCUGAGUGCAUUUAAUGCUUACAAAAAUUUAAACACAUUUUCAGGUAAUUGUUUCAUAAGCAUUUCAUAUACUCACACAAUUAUUUCAAUAUUUUUGUCUUCUCUGUGAUGCUCUCCAAUGCAUGUGUCCAAUAUUUCAGCCUCAUGGAGGCCCUCUAAUAAGGCACUUGUCCUCCUGUGUGCUGCUCCUCUAGCUCCAGUGCCACCUAGCUGGUCUAGUCUGACUGAAGUGCUUUCAGUUCCCUAGAAUGCAGUUAAUUUCCAGCACCAUUAUCAGCCGGAGAAUGCUUUACUGUCUGCUGAGAGUUGUACUGCUUGUCAUUAAUAUAAGACAUGCCCUUUUAAAUGUGCUUUGUGUGUGUCUGCACAAAAUAUAGGAUGGAGCAUCACUUCUGGAAAGAAUCAGAUAUGCAGAUAGACAUAAAUGGUUAACUGGAGAUUUACUUGCCUAGAGGGAAAGCUAGUGGAAAGAAAGAGUCUUUGCACUGUGAUUUAAUACCCACAGGAGCACAGUUCUCUGCAGUUGUUCCCAUCGGCUGCAAUUCCACUUAUUUUGCAGUCUGGAGCCAGGUCAGAUUCUCAGGUGCAGCUUCAGAUACAGGCAGCAGAAUGGUGUUAAAUAACUUUCCUUGGCUUUCCUAAAGACUGUUUGGGUGCAAUCUUUCUUGCUUUUUGAUCUCAUACAUCGAUUGGAUAUAAGGAAGAAGUAUUUUACAAUUACGAUAGCACAACUCAGGAGCAAGUUGCCCAGAGAGGUGGCGAAUGCCCCCUCCCUGGAGACAUCCAAGUGAGGCUGGAGCAGAUUCUGAGCACUCUGAUCUAGCUGCAGGUGUUACUGUUCAUUUUAGGAUAGUUAGACCAGAUGACUUUUAAAGCCCCCUUCCAAUUCGAAAGAUUGUAUGGUGAUGGUUCUGUACUACUAAUGAAAAGGAAAUGUCGCUGGUUCUCCUAUCCAUGCCCAUAGGAGGGGUCUGUGCUGUGCAGGGCUCUGCCUCCCCUCUGCCCCCAGUGAGGGCCUUUCUUUCCAGUGGUUCUGAAAGGAGCCCUUUGGGAUUUACUACAUUCCAUGCUUAUAAGCCAGUACUCAUUUGCUCUUCCCCAAAAGCAUCAUGCAAGGAAACCUCAGCAGCCUCCACAGACAGAAAAACCUUAAGACAGCCAAUAUAAGCUGUUUUGCUAGCAGGCUACAGGGCCUGGGAGAAGGCAGUUAGCAUAGUGGAGGCAAGCAGAAUGUAUGCAACACUGCUGAAGCCUACAAAGACUUAAUGGGAACCUGAGCCAGGAGCACAGAAAUGGUGUGCUGUUGAAGCUGGCACACUUCUUCACCCCACCAACCACCACUGGCUAAAACUAGCAGAGCCACCUUUUCCUUCUUAUGGGGUGAGAGAUUUGGCUUUCUUUCCCUUGUAUGCACUCCCCCUCCCCUUUUAACCUAUGACACGGGGGGAUUUCUGAGUGCCUCUAUCAGACUGGAGAUUGAAUGAGCACAGAAGGGAAACUGAUUGCUCCUUCCCUAACAGCAGGUGGUGGUGCUGGGUUGUGCAAACCAUUGAAAAACUGCUUACAGAUGUUCCUUCCUUGUUAAAAAGAUUGGAAAUGGAUGCUAAACAUUUGUCUUCUGCUUUCCCCUUCUGAUUGGAGGGUCAGUUACUGUUUACCCCUUUUCAAUAGGCAGUUUAAUGAAUGUUUGGAAGUGUGUUUUAAAAACAAGACUUACUAAAAUAAAUACUCCAGGGCUUAGGAUAAAGUAUAGCCCACAGUAUAACAUGUUGUUAGUCCUCUAAAGGUCUUGCAUAUUGUCCAUCAUUUUUGUGAAAACUGACAAGGAAGUUUUGUAUUUCUUAACUUCUGGAAUAGUUUGAUUACAUUUUCUUUUUCUUUUUCUUUUUUUUUUUCAGAUUGGGGCUGUGGGAAACAUAUUUGUUCUUCUCCUGUCUCAUGUCUCUUCAAUACUGACACUCUCAAUAUGAUGCCUUUUCCUAAUUAAGUAUAGCGCAGCAAUAAACCAAGUUUUA